GCGCAGACCGUGUAAGGCUGCGGGGUGAGAGGUAGGUGGUGAGGGUGGUUCGGGUUUGUGGGGCGGAAAGGGGGUGCGGGCGGUCGGUUAAGUGCAGGGGGAAAGGUCCCGGCUGAAAUGGGAGAGGGCCUUGCAGACUGGCGGACUUGAGGGGGGUAGAGGAAAGUGGAAUUCCCGGUGUAGUGGUGAUAUGCGGAGAUAUCGGGAGGAACACCUGUGGCGAAGGCGGCUUUCUGGGCCCUACCUGACGCUGAGACGCGAAAGCGUGGGGAGCGAACCGGAUUAGAUACCCCAGUAGUC
rnacentral:rRNA from 1 species